rnacentral:rRNA from 1 species
UACAGAGGGUGCGAGCGUUAAUCGGAAUUACUGGGCGUAAAGCGUGCGUAGGUGGUUUGCUAAGUCAGGUGUGAAAUCCCUGGGCUCAACCCAGGAACUGCAUUUGAUACUGGCAGGCUUGAGUGUGGUAGAGGGUAGUGGAAUUCCCGGUGUAGCGGUGAAAUGCGUAGAUAUCGGGAGGAACAUCAGUGGCGAAGGCGGCUACCUGGACCAACACUGACACUGAGGUACGAAAGCGUGGGGAGCAAACAGG